rnacentral:rRNA from 1 species
AUGCUGCUCGACAUCGGGUGCAGUUCCGGGCUUAGCGGCGAGACGCUGACGGAGCACGGGCAUCAUUGGAUCGGCUGUGAUAUCUCACAGUCCAUGCUUGAUGUUGCUCUGGAGCGGGAGACCGAGGGAGACCUCCUGCUCGCAGACAUGGGCGAGGUAAAAUGCCUGUUGCGGGACCGGGCCCGGCAGCGGCUUCUUCUUCGUUGUUUCUCUGGUGGAAGACCCGCGCCUGCGACACCGCGGCAGCGGUGGAGGCUGUCACUUGGCAGCAGCGGCGGCGGCGGCUACAACUCUUCUCCUGGGUACAGCCUGGGUCACCAACGCCUACAACCUGGGUAUGAACCUCUCUUCUCUACUUCAUCUUUACUGAAUUUACUGAAUGUGUGUAUUGUCUGA